GUAGGCCCUGUGCAGCGGCUUGUUGCUGCGGUUGUUGUAGCUGUACGUGUCGAUCUGAAUCAUCAGAGGAAGACCCUUGACGCCCUUCUGCGACGAGAAGUCCGUGCUCAGGCAGUUGACUGUGAUGAAGAUCUGAACGGGGGGCGAGGGGAGGGAGAGGUUGCGCUCGGCAUCAGCAUCUGCCACCCCUCUCCCCCUGUCUGUGACCUGUAACCUCCUCCUAACCGACGCCACAGCAUCACUUCCUGCUUCUUGAACAGGGACUUACCGAUGUCCAGGACCCUCUGCUUGGCCGUGUGCUGCCGGGAGUGCCAGUACUUCCAAUAUUUAAGCUGCUCGUCCCGGUUCUUGUCCUCGCUGAACACCACCAUGAUUACGCUCUGGACAGAGCAACGAGGGACAAGUUGGACGUCAAGUCAAAAGAAGAUCAGGUUUAAUUAAAAAGGCUCGUCUCGCAAUACCGCUUUCCACCUGAGGGGGCGAGCAGGACUUGUACCGGUGUUUGGUUAGCUGGCGUG